GCACAAUGGUGCAGAGGUUAGAGCUCUUGACUUGCAUUAAGGAGACUCCAGGUUUGAACCCUGGUUGGCG